UAGGGAAUCUUCGGCAAUGGACGAAAGUCUGACCGAGCAACGCCGCGUGAGUGAAGAAGGUUUUCGGAUCGUAAAACUCUGUUGUUAGAGAAGAACAAGGACGUUAGUAACUGAACGUCCCCUGACGGUAUCUAACCAGAAAGCCACGGCUAACUACGUGCCAGCAGCCGCGGUAAUACGUAGGUGGCAAGCGUUGUCCGGAUUUAUUGGGCGUAAAGCGAGCGCAGGCGGUUUCUUAAGUCUGAUGUGAAAGCCCCCGGCUCAACCGGGGAGGGUCAUUGGAAAAUGGGAGAAUUGAGUGCAGAAGAGGAGAGUGGAAUUCCAUGUGGAGCGGGGAAAUGCGUAGAUAUAUGGAGGAACACCAGUGGCGAAGGCGGCUCUCUGGUCUGUAACUGACGCUGAGGCUCGAAAGCGUGGGGAGCAAACAGG
rnacentral:rRNA from 1 species